rnacentral:sRNA from 1 species
UGCUUACCACAGCGUCCGGCAAAGACCGCUGACAUUGAUUGCUUUGAUCUCCUGGGUGAUUGGCAAUGAGCCAGUUCAGAUCCUCUGACUUGGUGUCCCCCUGGGGUACUGGGGGAAUCGGUGAAGUACUUCCUGGACAACUUGGACCGGAUCGGCCAGCUGAAUUACUUUCCUAGUAAGCAAGAUAUCCUGCUGGCUAGGAAAGCCACCAAGGGAAUUGUGGAGCAUGACUUCGUUAUUAAGAAGAUCCCCUUUAAGAUGGUGGAUGUGGGCGGCCAGCGGUCCCAGCGCCAGAAGUGGUUCCAGUGCUUCGACGGGAUCACGUCCAUCCUGUUCAUGGUCUCCUCCAGCGAGUACGACCAGGUCCUCAUGGAGGACAGGCGCACCAACCGGCUGGUGGAGUCCAUGAACAUCUUCGAGACCAUCGUCAACAACAAGCUCUUCUUCAACGUCUCCAUCAUUCUCUUCCUCAACAAGAUGGACCUCCUGGUGGAGAAGGUGAAGACCGUGAGCAUCAAGAAGCACUUCCCGGACUUCAGGGGCGACCCGCACAGGCUGGAGG